UACGGGGGGGGUAAGCGUUGUUCGGAAUUACUGGGCGUAAAGGGCGCGUAGGCGGCCACCUAAGUCAGACGUGAAAUCCCUCGGCUCAACCGGGGAACUGCGUCUGAUACUGGGUGGCUUGAAUCCGGGAGAGGGAUGCGGAAUUCCAGGUGUAGCGGUGAAAUGCGUAGAGAUCGGGAGGAACAUCAGUGGCGAAGGCGGCCAUCUGGGACAACACUGACGCUGAAGCACGAAGGCGUGGGGAGCAAACAGG
rnacentral:rRNA from 1 species